UUUAUUUUCAUCUAUCCCCAAUUUAUUUUCAUCGUUUCCGUUACAGAUCUUGAACGUGUUCGGAGAAGAAGAGGACGAACGAGCAAGAAGAGGUCUGUACCGAGGAGAGAUCGUCAAUGGGGGACGCCGGAGAGAGAGCACCGUCAGCUCAUAGCCCAACUCUUUAAAUCCCCGAACACUGUGAAAUCCUUUCAAUUAUCGCUUGCGAUUACAUUACCAGUAUUCUAUUUUGUGAAGAAGCAUGAAUUUUAGAUCUUGGAUUGCCAGAGGGAUUCCGGGUCUGGUUCCAGUUCUGGUGUGGGAGCUGUUUCGAUUUGGAGUGUGGCAGUGGGAGUUGCAUGCAUACAUUUUGCUGGUGGGUUUGCACUCAGGCCUUAUACCAUUCCUCAUAUAUUUUUAUUUUAGAGAAACUGGUGAAAGAGCAAGCUUCCGUGAAGACAGAUCUAGACAUGGCGGUACCUCUCUUUGUUUCUCCCUGUGUCUAUCGGUGCUUUCG